rnacentral:rRNA from 1 species
GCCUGCUAGCCGCAGUAUUUUGACUGUGCUAAGGUAGCAUAAUCAUUAGUCUUUUAAUUGGAGGCUGGUAUGAAUGGCGUGAUGAGAAACCUUCUGUCUUUGAAUUUCACUUCUAGGUGAAAAGGCCUAGAUGAUUCUGGAGGACGAUCAGACCCUGUAGAGCUUUUUGGUUGGGGCGACAAUUAUUGAUCCCUAAGGAGGGAUUAAAAGACUAAGUUACCUCAGGGAUAACAGCGUAAUUCUUUUGGAGAGUUCUUAUCGAUAAAGGAGUUUGCGACCUCGAUGUUGGAUUAAGAGAUCAGUAGGGUGUAGAAGCUCUAUUGGAGAGUCUGUUCGACUCUUAAAUUCUU